rnacentral:tRNA from 1 species
AAGGGAGUGCUGGGCGCGUUAAGACUUCUAAUCUUUAUCGUAGGAGGUUCAAUUCCUUUUACUCUCUUU